rnacentral:rRNA from 1 species
GACGAACGCUGGCGGCGUGCUUAACACAUGCAAGUCGACGACGCUACUGAGUAGCAAUAUUUAGUAGUGGAGUGGCGCAAGGGUGAGUAAUGUAUACGUAACCAACCCAUCGGAGACGGAUAACAUUUCGAAAGGGAUGCUAAAACGGCAUGAAGCCACGAUUUCGCAUGAGAUUGUGGUUAAAGAACCGGUAACAGGUUGCCGAUGGCUGGGCGUAUAUCCGAUUAGCUAGUUGGUAGUGUAAUGGACUACCAAGGCGACGAUCGGUAGCUGGUCUGAGAGGAUGAUCAGCCACACUGGCACUGAGACACGGGCCAGACUCCUACGGGAGGCAGCAGUGGGGAAUAUUGGGCAAUGCCCGCAAGGGUGACCCAGCAACGCCGUGUGGAGGAUGAAGGCCGUAAGGUUGUAAACUCUGACAAGCAGGGAAGAACGGCUAUGGUAAAAGGCCAUAGAAUGACGGUACCUGCCUGAAGCCCCGGCUAACUACGUG